GAUGAACGCUGGCGGCGUGCCUAAUACAUGCAAGUCGAGCGAACAGACGAGGGUCUUGCUCCGCGGACGUUAGCGGCGGACGGGAGAGUAACACGUGGAUAACCUACCUAUAAGACUGGGAUAACUUCGGGACACCGGAGCUAAUAGCGGAUAAUAUACUGAACCACAGGGUUCAAUGGUGAGAGACGGCUUUGCGGGCACUUAUAGAGGGAUACGAGCCGCUUGAGCUAGUUGGUCCGGUCAAGGCUUACGAAGGCAACGAUGCGUAGCCGACGUGAGAGGGGGAUCGGCCACCUGGGAACUGAGCCAGGGACCAGAGUCCUAAGGGAGGGCGCAGUCGGGAAUUGUCCGCAGCGGUCGGAAGUCUUACGGAGCAACGCCGCGUGAGUGAUGAAGGCCCUCGGAGCGUAAAGCUCUGUUACUAGGUAAGAACAAAUGUGUACGUAGCUAAGCACGUCUUGACGGUACCUAAUCAAAAAGCCACGGCUAGCUACGUG
rnacentral:rRNA from 1 species